GAGUUUGAUCGUGGCUCAGAACGAACGCUGGCGGCGUGGAUAAGACAUGCAAGUCGAACGGGAGAAUUGCUAGCUUGCUAAUAAUUCUCUAGUGGCGCACGGGUGAGUAACACGUGAGUAACCUGCCCCCGAGAGCGGGAUAGCCCUGGGAAACUGGGAUUAAUACCGCAUAGUAUCGAAAGAUUAAAGCAGCAAUGCGCUUGGGGAUGGGCUCGCGGCCUAUUAGUUAGUUGGUGAGGUAACGGCUCACCAAGGCGAUGACGGGUAGCCGGUCUGAGAGGAUGUCCGGCCACACUGGAACUGAGACACGGUCCAGACACCUACGGGUGGCAGCAGUCGAGAAUCAUUCACAAUGGGGGAAACCCUGAUGGUGCGACGCCGCGUGGGGGAAUGAAGGUCUUCGGAUUGUAAACCCCUGUCAUGUGGGAGCAAAUUAAAAAGAUAGUACCACAAGAGGAAGAGACGGCUAACUCUGUGCCAGCAGCCGCCGCCGUAAC
rnacentral:rRNA from 1 species